UACGAAGGGGGCUAGCGUUGCUCGGAAUCACUGGGCGUAAAGCGCACGUAGGCGGCUUUCUAAGUCAGGGGUGAAAUCCUGGAGCUCAACUCCAGAACUGCCUUUGAUACUGGGAAGCUCGAGUCCGGAAGAGGUGAGUGGAACUCCGAGUGUAGAGGUGAAAUUCGUAGAUAUUCGGAAGAACACCAGUGGCGAAGGCGGCUCACUGGUCCGGUACUGACGCUGAGGUGCGAAAGCGUGGGGAGCAAUCAGG
rnacentral:rRNA from 1 species